rnacentral:misc_RNA from 1 species
GCGCUGCUGCUGGUGUGAGCCUAUGGUGUGAGCUGAAGCAUGAAGAAGCGCUGAAGCCUCGAGUGUUGGUGCGGAGAGGGUCGAUGGUCGAAGGCCGAGGGCAUGCUUAUAUAUUUUAGCACGAUGGAAAUUUUUGUUAGAAUAGGUUUCAUCGAAACUUUCAAAAGACUUUCAUCAUGUUAAAAUGCCGGCGUGGAUUGGACUGGUGAACCAUGUCAAAGAAGCCAGACAAGCAUGAAGUGGGCCGUUCCAAAGGAAGUAGUCGGCUGGCACGCCGGGCACGCUCCUUCAAGGAAGAUAUUCUGGGAAAAAUACACCAGAUGCGGACGCCCAGUCGGGCUGCCUCUCCACAGCAAACACACAAGGCCAGGCCUCGGGCCCGGGACAAUGAGCUGGACGCACCCAAUACCAACCCAGCAAGUCCAGCCAGCAGCCCAAGCAAAGGUGAUUCACAAGUGAACAAUGACAUGAAGCAAAUCUCCAAUGCCUUGCGAUAUUUUCAAGACUCUGUUGAAAAAAACACCUUGGGCCACCUGCCUGGCUCUGCAAGCAUUGUUCUGGAAUAUGUGUUGCACCUUAUCUCACUUCUCAAGAAAGACCUUAUCAAUGACCAGAGUUCGGUGCUGAUGUCUACAACCAAUCAAGUCUACCAGAGCUUAUCAAGGUUCAUUGAAUGGGCAGACGAUGUGAUGCUGAACAGAGAGCGGGCAACCAUGGAAGGUGUUAACCAGGUUGUCCAAUCUCUUCAAGAUUCGCUCAAGGCCUUGAUUGAAGUCAGCCAAAAGCAGUCCCAAAACAAAGACAAAAACAAGCACAUGGGUACCACUACUCCCAAUGGCAUCUACACUUCUAAAGCAGACAGAAGCCAGCUCGAUGGUUCCAGCUUGGAUGCAGUAGCCCCUCCCCUGCCGCCAAAAAAGAAGUCUGGGGCACUCAGCUCUAACUCUAACCUCCUGGAGCCUCUGUCAGCAGUGCUACGUUCGCCACUGUUCGGGGACUGGCAAGGCAGCAGCACCCUUAGCGGUGCCAGCAGCUUCGAGUCCUGCCUCCACCAUUCAGCUGACGAUCUCCUGGGCAUAUCUUCACCAGCCGCCUGGACUGCCACCACCCACAAGACAAGCUAUCAAAGCUUCAGCUACAACGCUUGUACCACUACCGUCAGCGGCCGAAGUGACAGUGUCGACCAGCUCCUUAGUCACUCAUCAUCAUCAACACAUAUAUCAGCCAUGAAGCAGGUGGACAAGACACUUGCUUCUGUCAGCCACCAAUCAUUUGAGCUGACGGGAUCUGCUUUUGGAACUAGUGUGGAUGAAAUCAAACCGGCCCUUCCCAUCAAGCAGCGUUCUGCCAGAACAAGGACCCCAUCUCAGUAUGACAACGUUUCGGACGCUGAGGAUGUGGCAGAUGGUGAAAGAUGGAAAAGUGAACACUGGCAUACCACAGAUAUGAUGGGCUGCAAGGUGAUUGGACACGAACCGUCAUGCCCACAACAUGGCCAGCUGACAAAUGCCUCUUCGACAAAUAUCUCUGCUGCAGCUGAGGAUGGCCGACCACCGCCCCUUCCUCCAAAGAAAAAAAUGAUUCAGGAGUACAUCCAGACAUUUGGCAGCUACUCACAGCCUGCAGAGCAGCAGGAUUUUUUCAACAGUGGCCGUCUGUUCACGUACCAAGCUGCACACUACAAGCAAGUGCAGAUGUCUUUUGCUAGCCUGGGAAGUGAUGAGUUCCUUAGCAGCUCUCUGCUAGAUGCAACUUUGGCAGCACCUUUUGAACUGAGUUCUCCACCUGCUCUGCCGCCCAAGAAGAACAGGAGUAGUUCCUUGGGUGUCCAAGAUAGUCUCAUGUUGCCUACGCGCCAGUCCUAUGCGUCUCUUGGUUCAGGGACCUGCUUAGACACCCCUCAGCCUUUAAAAGCUAUUGAAGAUGCCCUGCCUGAUGAGAAUGGAGAGAGCUUGAUUGACCUGCAAGAUGUCAGCGAUCACUUGAUCUUUGGUGAUAAUCCAAAUGAUGUACGAGGUCUCAAGGGAGGGCCAGCUGAUGCUCUCAUAAUUCAUGCAACUGCAGUACCAGAAAACAGUGAAAAAGAGUACUUCUAUCAGGAGGCCUUCCUAACAACGUACAAGACAUUUGUAAGUCCUAUGGAUCUAGUGAACAAGCUCAUCUACCGCUACAACAAGUUCAUCCAGUUCUCAGACACACGGCAAAAAUAUGCUCGGUGGGCCUUCUCACUCCUGGUUCGUGUUGUGGACGACCUUGGGCUGAGUGAUGCGGGCCCAGACAUGGUGCGCUGUCUGACAGCAUUCUCGCACCAACUCGUGGGCCGGGGAGACCUGAGCCUGGCAAGGGCUCUGCGGGCCAAGGUGGUAGAGAAGUGGGAAGCGCACGCACAACUGCAUGCUGGAGGCCCCUGGAGCACGACAGGGGCCGGGGGAGCCCCUCCUGGUUGCGGCGGUAGCCUUGCCAACUUGCGUGUCACCACCCAGCCGGCCACCUUGCUCCAGUUCAAAUCAGAGCUCCUAGCCGAGCAGAUGACCCUGCUUGAUGCUCACCUCUUCCAGCGCAUUGACAUCUCCGAGAUUCUCAUUUGGGCGAAAGAGCAAAAUGAAGAUUCAAGUCCAAACCUGACGAAGUUCACCGAGCACUUCAACAAAAUGUCCUACUGGGCACGUUCCUGCAUCUUGAAGCAGUGUGACGCGAAAGAUCGCGAGCGAGUGGUGGUGAAGUUUAUCAAAAUUAUGAAGCACCUUCGCAAGAUCAACAACUUUAAUUCUUAUCUGGCGAUCCUGUCAGCACUGGAUUCUGCACCAAUACGCCGUCUCGAGUGGCAGAAGAACAUCACUGAGGGCCUCAAGGAGUACUGCGCCUUGAUAGAUAGCUCAUCGUCUUUUCGUGCAUACAGGCAGGCUCUGGCAGAGACAACACCACCAUGUAUUCCUUACAUUGGCCUGAUACUGCAAGACUUGACUUUCGUGCAUGUGGGGAACACUGAUUAUAUCACAGAUUCCAUUGUGAACUUCACUAAAUGCUGGCAGCAGUUUCACAUUCUUGAGCCAAUGAGAUGCUUCAAGAAAAAGCCAUUUUCAUUUAAGCGCAAUGAGCAAAUCAUCGACUUUUUCAACAAUUUCGAAGACUACCUCUCAGAGGAUGCGAUGUGGGAGAUCUCUGAGAACAUCAAGCCACGUGCAGGCCAAAAGAAGAAAGACUACAGCUGAAGCACUUAUUAUUUACACUUGGCAUUUAUCAUGCGCAUCCCUUCAUGGUGCCUGCUUGCUUAGUUCAUUUACCAAACCAGCCAUUUCAGAGCACUGAGUGCUCUUUUAAAGCCAGACUUAUUCAGUUUGUUUACUCAUGUUCAUUUCAUUAGUGCUUUUUUUAUGCUUUUAUUAUAGUUUUGAAGAUUUUUCUAUAAUCUAUGUAGUGUGCGGCUGUGACAGCUGUGGACCAUAUAGAGUGUUUUCUUUAUUAAGUCAUUACAAAGCGAGGCAAUCACUGGUGCUUUUGCAGCCACCACAAGUUAUUAGUGCGAUGUCAACCUUCAGAGUGCAAUUAUUUUAUUAGAUUUCCUUGUUGUUAUAUAGGUGUGUUAGUAUUGCCAAUAAUUUAUUCUUGUCAUUUAGCUGUGUAAAAUUUAUCUUAAGGGCGCUCUUGCCCUUCCAUGUGUGAAAAGUAUGCAAGCCUCAAAGUCUUUUUCAACUUUUGAUUUAUAUAGUGCUCUCUAUAUUUAUUGACCUGUAACCAUGCAAGACGUUUUCUUUUUUCCUGUACUUUACCAGACCUGGGAAUACCAUUUAUGCAACGUUGCCAAAAAAUGUGAGCCCUUCUAAGCAAAGCCUUCUGUCAAAGCAGUUCCAUAUAUGGGGCAGACCCAGCAGACUCAAACUUGUUGCCAUUAAAUUGUAUGCAUGGCACCCUAGUUAAGGGGGCCCACAACAAUGGUGAGUUGACGCAUUCUGUGGAUAAGGCAUAAAGCUGUGAUGAACAUCUUGCACAAGCUUUGCAGUUGUAGGCAGCGCAUGGAGCCAGCAAGCGGCAAAUUAAGAUAGUGCCCCCUCUUUUUGAAGGGCCAUUCCUGGAAAUGCUAGCCAGUGGCCAGCUAAUGUCAGCUGGUAGUGGUCCAGAGACACCAACCAUUGGGUGAUUGUUUCUUAUCAUGAAUUACCCAUGUGCAUAUGCGCACCUUUCCUGGUCUGUUAGGGAUUACUACUAGGAAACAGUGAAGUGAUGGUUUUUUACCACAUCUCAUCACCGCUCCAUUGUUGCUCUUAAGAAGCUUUGUCAGAGGCCGUCCCUGUAAGAUUACCAUAAGCACACCACAAAAAAAAAAAAAGAACGAAAGGUGCGACAGUCAGGGGAAGCCUAUCAUAUCUGCAUUCAUAAUUGGUCCUUUUCAAAAAUUUAUUUGGUAAUAUGUUCCUUGAAAGGCGCUGCUCUUACUUUAGCAUGUUCUGUAGGCUUCCGGAAAAAGUUUUUCAUGGCCCCUUUAAAGCUUCACCUGCCAUUUUCAAAUAAAGGCAGUAGUGUUGAAGGGAAAAUAUUUAUGCAUAAAGCAUUAUUUUAUGAACAAAACAAUUUUUUUUUACUUUGAAGUGCACGAUCGAGGUACCUCAGUAAAUUGAAAGUAUGUGCACCUGACCGCAUGGUGUUUUCAGAGCACAGAAGUAGCGAAAAAGUUAAAUUCUCACGCAGCUUCGCCACAUAGCAUAGAAUUUAGGUGUGCUAUGUGGUGAACAUAUGGGGAAGUUAUGCACUGGUCCGUUGAAUUCCGGGAACAAUGUGUUAGGCACUACAAAAUUUCAUAUUUUCAUGGGUCCCCGGUCUACAAAGGUUUUUGUAAUUGGGGAUGCAUUUACAGGAUUCGUACAGAACAUUUGACUCAAAAUUUAAGGACAAUUUAAGAGUUGCAAGGCUGCCAAAAGCAUUAUUCUAGGAGGAGAAAACAAGCUUUAUUCAUGCAAAUACACUUAAACAUAGUAAAAUCUUUUUAGCUGCAAUUUCUUACAGCUAAGCAGCUGCUGGGUUGGACACAUGCUUCAGGUUCUUCAGGUCGCUUUUCUAAGAUGACUUUCCCAUUGCCACCUCAUUUCUCCCUCUUCAUUUCCCUGUCUCUCCCUAACCGUUUACCCCAGUUGUGGAGUAGCAGGCCAGAGACAAGGUUCUCAAGUCAACUUCUCCACCGUUCCUAUCAUUAAAGUUCUCUCUCGCUCUCCCAUCUAUUGAUGUCAACCACGUUCUAGCAUGAUGGUUAGUAGUGUCCGACUUCAGCCAAAAGUACGCAUCAUAUUAAAGUCAAAUGGCUGAAAGUUACUUUCUGCCAGGCAUUUCUAGAGCCUAGGACUCGAAACUGGAGCCACGAUGGUGGUAGUGUGAACCAACUAGAAAAAACAACAAAAUAGUGGCACGGCUUGCAUGGUCGCUUGAUCUGGCUUUGUCUAGCUUCACGACGGCAACAAUAAUUUAAACAAGCCUGUUGUUAAUCGCUGUGGACGCACCACUUUUUAAUCAUUUAGCAACAUAAUCUCAAAAUAAAAUAUCUAGAAUUUUUUCCCGGUAGAUAGUGUCCAUAGCAUAGCCCCUAUGCAGAGUUUGUUACCUUGAAUGUUCAAAGGUUGCCCCCAACUACAGCAUUCAAUUCAAAGAGCACACUUAUUUUAAAUGAAUUUUAAGGGCCCUUGAAUCUGUUUUUCCAAAUUCAAGGGUUUUCAAGGAUUUCAAGGAAGUGUACAAACCCCGAUUUGUCAUGGUUCUAAAGAACCUUUCCUUUUUUUUCUUUGACAUGGCAGGUUUGAGUCUGCUGGGUUCCCUUGUUCUUGCAUCACUACCUCUUGUUGCAGUGCACAAAUGGAACCAAAACUGAACAGGAUAUGGUGCUUUUAUCUAACUGCACUGACACACAAUAAUGAAAAUGAGAAGUUAUAUAGUGUGACCAUGUGCAACUAUAAUAAUUGUACACUUAACUGUAAGUUUAAAACGCCUUUUGCAUCCUUGUACACUAAUGCACAUAGGCCUUGUAAUCAUGUCCAGUUCACUUUUGUUUCCAUUCUCAACUUCUCAAUAGGGCCUCUCACCAGACCCCAUUGCAAAUUUUCGUUAUACACUGGAACUUGUACGGCACCAUCUAGGGAGUAUUUUCAUUGGAAUAACUUUUUUCAAGCCAGUUCAUUAUUGUACAAGAUAGAAGAAAUUGAACUGUUCUUUUACCAUGCUGCCAGGAGGCGAGCAUCACUGUCAACAGAGUCUUUCCCCCUUUGCCUUGACCGGAGCCAAGGGACCGUGACACGUUCACAUGAUUGUCCCCACCUCCUUUGCUGCGCGGUACAUUUCCAGUGGAGGUAUCACACAUUCAGCAUAAAAUGAUCAACCCAAAUCACGUAUAUGUGUGUGUGACCUUGACUGUCGUUCGAAGCGCGGCUUUCUUGAGAGAAAGGGGGCACAGUCUUCUGUUCGAAGGUUCAACCAUUUUUUGCAAAUUGCAACCGUUUCAUACUUUGCAAGUCGAUCAUGACCGUGUCAUGACCACCCUUGUUUGUUUGCAAUACCGAAACCUGGUGAGGGGCUCUUUGAAAUUAGCAUGCUUCUUUCUUUCUGAUAACUGCUCUCACAUCUCAUAUGAGCUGCAGCUUGUGUGAGCUUGCAUGCAACAAAGUGAUGCUGCUGAUGUGACUAAAAGAAGGCUGGAAGGACGGGGAUAUUUGCAUACUUGGCACUUUUAGGUGGUCUCUCAGACAGCUGGGAUUUAGAUCUCGGGAGCCAGGUAGUUGACUGAAUCUUUCAUGGCCAAGGCAGACAAGGCGGUGUGGUGCAAUGUCGGUCUGCAAUUGUUCAGCCAAGAACGUGCACUGGAGCUAUGUAAUGUCAGAUACACUUUAUUACUUAAUUUUUUAGCUGCACUCAGGGAAGUGCGACAUUUUGUCUGCUUUUAUUAGCUGUUACAUAUGUAGAAAUGCUGCGAUGCGAGCUAUGCUAAAAGAUAUAAUGUGCAGGUUUUAGCUAUGUAAAGUUUAUUGAAAUUUCAGCGACCGGCUUGGUCAUUUGCAUUUUGCAAAUGAUUUGGUGCUGUGUAUUGAUGAGCUUUAAGCUUGUUUGAGCAAAGAUUACUUAAAUUUAUAGGAUGUUCUAGAACCGGGUCUUAUUUCAGUCUUGAGAGUCCUACAUCAUGUAUUCUUAAUUGUUGUCUGCCAUUUACGUUGUGUGUGCUGUAACAGUGAAAAUGCCAGGCCAGUGUCUGCCAUUUUAUCAACAUCCCCCCCCUUUGUUCUAAAUGAACUUAACUAUUAACUUUAUGGUAGCCGAUUUUAAUUGACAGCUGCGCAUGUUUUUUUUCUUUUUUUCCCCUACUGAGAUAAAAAUAAUGAAGGCCCGGUUUUUAUAGUUACAUUUGCUUAUUAAAGCAAAGAUGUCCUGGUGUUUCGAAGCAUUAAAAUAUUCCCGCCCCUGAGAAACAAAGUAUGGUUGAACCUCGUUAUACCAAGCACGAAUAUAGUAUCAAACUAUCACUAAUGUGAGAACCAAUACUUAGAUUUUAGUCUUGAGAUUUUAUAAAGUACAUGCAUUUUAGUUUUUGUAUACCAAAUCUACUGGGGCAUGCUGUGGAUACACUGGACACAUGCAGCAGUGCUUCUGUGAAGCACAUGGCCAGCAGCUGUCAUACAGCAGGCAUUUGCAACUCUCCCAUGUACGAUUCCAAUGCUGGCAAGCACCAUCGUGAGCAUAGCAAGGUGUAUCAAGAAUUGCAAAGCGAGGGCUCGGCAAUUGCCUCCAUGGUGUCCAAGAUCACACUGCUUUAUCAUGGAGCCCAUGGCUCAAUAGCCACACUCGCUGGUCCUUCAUGCAUCCUGGUGGAACAAGUCAUCUUAUCAUCUGGAACCUUAUUUGCUGAUCAGCCAGUCAUUGCUGCAACAGGUGUGACAAUGUAAACUUUAAAGCUGAGAAGCACUGCUCCUGUUUCAGCUGCAUGAUAAGGACUGGGAAUAGAGAGGUGGGAUAUUCAUGUCAAGUAGCUACCAUAUGAAGCCAGUGGGCACUAAAGCCAAUAAAAGCAUAGAGAAAAUAAACUUUUGUUUAGUAUAACUAGGCAAUCUUAAUAGUGUUAAUAAAUGCAAAUGAAAUGAAAGUGAAGGACAACUUGACACCAGUGGAAGCAGAACUCGUAGCUUUAAGAUGACACAAUGAUACAUGUAAUGCGUAAGCACACCCGUGGACGGUUCCCACCACACAAGCAGCGCAUGUCAUGCAGAGGCUGUGUAUGUGGCUCCAGGCAGUGACAAGUUGUCUUUCCUUUCACUUUUGUUUACUUUUCACUGUUCAAGAAUUAUGGAAAUAAAGACAAAUUCAACACUCCCUUGUAAACAGCAGCCUUUCUUUAAAAAAACAAACUGUGCUCUUUUUUUGUCUUCAGUGCCUGUUGGUUUGUAAUUGUGUGGUUUUCUACUCUCAAUUUAAUGAGGUACCCUGCUCGAAACAGUUAAGAAAAGUUGAAGCAGUCUAUUUGGUACAUCACAACAUGCUCGGUAUAGCAAUACCUCAUGGUGACAGUGGGAAUGUUUAGUACAAGGUGGGAUGCAAAGUGCAAGGCCACUCACUCCUCAGUACCAGUCCAUCUGCUUUAGUGUGAAUGCAGAAGCAGUCAUGGCACACCUACUUACAGUGGCUUGCUUGUUUAGUCAGUGAGCUGAAAACUGAGCUCUCAUUGUCAUGAAAACUGUUUACCAACCAGAAGUGCUGAAGUACAACAUUGAGUGCAACACCCUGACGGCACAUUAUGUCACAUUACUUGCAACCAUUUACUUACUUGUGGUUUGAUAGGUAAAUAGCGGAAGGGUGUAAAACAAAUCCCUGUCGCAUCACCCGGUUGCAUUUCUUGCCUUCUCGCACACCGAGUGCCUUCCAUUUCCAUGUCAAUUGCCGACUGAAUCAAGCCAAUCUCAAUUGAGCCUAUAAGAUAAAUGUAUGUAUGAAAUUUUGGCUACAGCAAACUUCACACAAUUCUCUUUUUGUACUCUUUGUUAUAACGAGGUUCAACUGUGUGCAGGCCUGCCAUUUCUUAAAACACUGAAUUGUGACUCUGGUUGAGCUGAUAUAAAAUACAGUGGCUUCUUUAAUUGUGAA